rnacentral:lncRNA from 1 species
UAAAUUACAAAGAAUUUCUCUCUCAAAAUUCAAAUUUUUUUUUAUUUUUCCUCUGUCAUUAAAAACCCACAUUUUGUCCCCUUAAAAAAUAAAAAAUAUUCACAGGAGGGUACGGUAUUAACUAUGAUGACAAAGUAACCAAAUUGUCCCUCAUCUUCUUCGUUUCCUCUCCAAUCCUGCUCAUCCACAGCCUCUCCUUCACUAUCCUUCGCGCCUCCCUCGACUCCUGCUUUGACUCCGUUUUCUCCACAUGCUCCCUCGCUCUUCCAGCACCCUCGCCGCUUAUCUAUUUAGGCGACUGUAGGGAAGAGAUCAGGGUGGGCAUGGACGAAGAUGUGGGCGAGGGCGAGGUUGAGGCGGUGUAGGGCAAGGAUGUGUGUGUGGGGGUAUGGAUAGAGGGUUAGGCGAGGGCGAGGCGGCGGAGGAGGGCGAGGCGGUGCGAUCGAGAGCAUCGGUGAGGAAGGAAGAGGCGCAUCCGAAAGUAUUUUGGAUAUAAAAAAUAAAUAAUAAUAAAAUAUAAACGAAAUUCUUAUGGAACACUGACAGCGGGGGCCGAAAUAAAUAUUUCUCAAUUUGUAAGAGGGCAAAAUGUAGGUUUUCAAAAGUCAAGGGGAGAGUGAAAAAGCGGUAUUAACAGAAAAAUUUUCUGUAAUUU